CACCGCCACGGGAAGCCCCGAUGAGAUCGCCAAGCUGUUCCCCAACUUGUACGGCCAGCCUUCGGCCGAGCCGGCCGCAAUGAAGUUGCUCAAGAUCAGUCGUCGUGCUUUCUGGUGGCUAGGCUCUAGGGGGGCAGAAUGUGAUCUGUGAUGUCUCUGGGGAGGCCCGGCUGGUGUCAUGAAGGGAAGUACGUCCAGGUGACUGUUGAUUUCUUGUACCCCUAAUGAAACCACACAAGAGCUCUACCCCAGCAUGGCUUCCCCAUCUCUGGUCGUUCCCUUGCAUUCCUCCAUUGGUGGCUGGGAAGAUGGGCCACCACCGAAGCCGCUCCCACUAAUCGCCAAACUGUACCUGCUAGAUUAAUGAGGUCGCAGCCGAGGCCGACCAUCGCCGCGCAAACUCAUGGGUUCGAUGUGGGUUUAUUUGCAUAUUAUUUACUUAAUAAAAUGGUUUGAGGUGAAGAGCCAAAGGCCCGAAGCCAAAUGUUCCUAACAGAACGACGAUCCGCGGGAAACAAGGCCAACGCUAUGUGUGCCUGCAAGAUUGAGGUUCCCAGAUAUUUUACUUUUCUCCAUGAUCCUACACCAUUGUAUUGCUUCAUGUAGAUCCCUUUAUCAUUCAUUUUUAUUGUUCAAAUCUCUAUAUGGUUGUCAUAUAGAUGAUAUUACAGGGAUGUAGCACUAAUGCAUUAUAUUUUUCAUGUGUUGUCGUAAACAGAACUCCCUCUGUACUGAUGCAUAUAUGUUUUUUUCUUUUAAUUG